GGGGGUGUAGUAUAACCUGGCAUUAUGACCGCCUCCAGAGCGGUUGAUCGGGGUUCAAAUCCCUGCGCCCCCA
rnacentral:tRNA from 1 species